CCUACGGGCGGCAGCAGUGGGGAAUAUUGGACAAUGGGGGCAACCCUGAUCCAGCAAUGCCGCGUGUGUGAAGAAGGUCUUCGGAUUGUAAAGCACUUUCGACGGGGACGAUGAUGACGGUACCCGUAGAAGAAGCCCCGGCUAACUUCGUGCCAGCAGCCGCGGUAAUACGAAGGGGGCUAGCGUUGCUCGGAAUGACUGGGCGUAAAGGGCGUGUAGGCGGUUUGUACAGUCAGAUGUGAAAUCCCCGGGCUUAACCUGGGAGCUGCAUUUGAUACGUGCAGACUAGAGUGUGAGAGAGGGUUGUGGAAUUCCCAGUGUAGAGGUGAAAUUCGUAGAUAUUGGGAAGAACACCGGUGGCGAAGGCGGCAACCUGGCUCAUUACUGACGCUGAGGCGCGAAAGCGUGGGGAGCAAACAGGAUUAGAUACCCGUGUAGUC
rnacentral:rRNA from 1 species